rnacentral:rRNA from 1 species
GAUGAACGCUGGCGGCGUGCCUAAUACAUGCAAGUCGAGCGAACAGACGAGGAGCUUGCUCCUCUGACGUUAGCGGCGGACGGGUGAGUAACACGUGGAUAACCUACCUAUAAGACUGGGAUAACUUCGGGAAACCGGAGCUAAUACCGGAUAAUAUAUUGAACCGCAUGGUUCAAUAGUGAAAGACGGUUUUGCUGUCACUUAUAGAUGGAUCCGCGCCGCAUUAGUUAGUUGGUAAGGUAACGGCUUACCAAGGCGACGAUGCGUAGCCGACCUGAGAGGGUGAUCGGCCACACUGGAACUGAGACACGGUCCAGACUCCUACGGGAGGCAGCGGUAGGGAAUCUUCCGCAAUGGGCGAAAGCUUGACGGAGCAACGCCGCGUGAGUGAUGAAGGUCUUCGGAUCGUAAAACUCUGUUAUUAGGGAAGAACAAAUGUGUAAGUAACUAUGCACGUCGUGACGGUACCUAAUCAGAAAGCCACGGCUAACUACGUG